UACGCACGGUUGCCGGUUGUGGGCACGGUGGUGCUCUACCUCUGCUCCAUCGUCACCUCCCUCACCACAUCUCCUCCGCUACUAUCGUCGUGUGAUGGUGAAUUUCCCCUUCCUCUUCCCCUCCUUUGUUCCAAUUUAGGAUGUGUUAAUGUGAUGUUGUUAAAUGAGAUCAUAUGCUGUUGUUAAGUGAAUUCAUCUGGUGUUGAUUGUUUGUUGUUAUAACCUAUGGUUCCUAUUACCAACUCAAAUAUAUGCCAAUUAUAUGUUAGUGUUUCAGACAAUUUAUAGACAUGCAAUGUGUUUGCCAAUGUUGCAAUGCUACGUUAUUUGAGAAUUGAUACAUCUGUAUAUCACAUUUCAUCCGUGAUCAUCGACCCUUUAGUACCCUAAUGAAUGUUCUGUUUAAUUUGCGAAAUAUUUUCUGAACUCCAUUCCAAACAUGUGUUCCUGAUGACAUUCGUUGUCAAGGAGAAUUGGCUCAAAGUGACCAUCUAAACCUUGAUCGAUCUGUUUUGGGCUACUGGUGACCGCCGCCUCCCCGCAGCCCACGGCAAAGAAGAUCAUGGCCUUGGAUGACAAAGAUGGUAACCUGCAGCUCAAGGGCUUGGCAUGGGUCCCUGUUCGAUCCAUGGAAGAAUUUCAGGAGGUUUACUCAAUUUUUCGAAAUGGGUGUGCAGAGAGAAAAGUUGCACACACAGGCCUGAACGAUGUUUCAAGUAGGAGCCAUGCUGUGCUCUCCAUCCGGAUCAGUAAUGAUACUUUCAAAGGGAAAAUCUUAACCUCAUUGACUUGGCUGGUACGACUCCCUGUAAUGAGGUGCACAUAACCUAUAAAGGCUUCACAUUCCAGUUUAAGACCAUGCUGUGUUGCAUAUUCAUUUCAGGAAAUGAGGACAACAGGAGGACGUACAAUGAUUAGCAAAUUUACUCCAAGGUCUUAGUUUGUAGUAAUGUUAUUAUAUUUCCGUAGUUUAGGCUUUCCUCUGCACGGGUUCUGUCUUUUUUUUUACUUCAUAUAUGCCAACCUCCAGUUCUUGUUCUGGUACAACUUUCGGAGGAAAUGGUUCUGCUAUUGUUUACUUUGAUACCAUUAUGCAGUGCAUGGCUUCUUUGCCGUUUACUCCACUUUAUUCUUCUACAACAUCAGUUGUUGUUUCAGACUGAUAGUUCUCGGAGGCUGCGGUGGUGUUAGUGCUUCUGGCGAUGUACCGGUGAUCCUGUCGUCAUAUGCAUGGAUGAUAGUGCCCAACCUCAAGCUCCAGGUAGGUAACCCGACCCUUCCGCCUCUCCCCUGCGGCUUCCUUCUUCUACACCAACUAUAACUCCAUUUGUAUCUCUUGUGCUUGCUAUUCACUUGCGUUGAUUGCAUAAUUCACACACUGUACAUGAUUAUCUAGACAACUUUUGUAUGACUCUGUGGUAGAUUAUCUACAUAAAUUAGCAUUUACCUGAGUAGAAGCACA